rnacentral:lncRNA from 1 species
UUCUUCUCUUUUAUAAAAUAUUAUCAUAUUACAUCGGAAAAACCUGCAAAAUACAAAAAUAGCAUUGAUAAUAAUUAUACUCUGUACUCACAAAAAAGUAAAUCGUGGUCAUCUUUUAUUCAUACAUACUCUCAAAAACUAUUAAUAUUUCAUUUUCAAGAAGAUGAUUUGGUUUCUUAUCAGAUCUACGCAACUAUCGUUGACAGACAACAUUUGUGAUCACUUUAAAAUAUUUUUGUGAAGAAGAGAAAUUACGAGGAAAGCGACGAGAAAGGAGCAAGAAUUUUUGGGCUUGAAGAAUUGAGUUUGGAGGAGAAGAUGGUACCAUAGAGAACAACGAAGUCACAAUUUCUGACAUGAAUUGCUUUAAUAUUGUCUAUUUUGAGUUUUUCGUUUAUUGUGAGCCGGUGAAUGUGUGUAUCGCCUGAAAAAAGAAAAAUGUGGAGAAGAUGAACUCACCAGCUAUACUAUAUGUGGUGAAAGAAAGUUUUAGUAUAGUUUGUGUUAUGUAGUGCAACUAUUUAUGUAAGGUUACUAUACUAUUUUAGAUAUAGUCUCUUCUCACUCUUGUAUCUUUUUUACUAUUUUUGUGAAAAUGAACAAUAUGUUGUGACUUUCAAUUACGAUAUUUCUCUUUUUUGACGUGUUCAUUAAUAACUAAUAAACUAAUUUCAUGUUCUAUUCUAUUUAAUGGUUGUAAAUUUAUACUCUUUCAUUGAUCAGUGGUAGAACGCGUCAAAUUACCAAACUAAAUAUUAUGGAACGGUUCUUGUAUUUCUAUACCAUUCGCAAGAAAUGGAAUAACACUUACAUCUCUAAUUUUCAUUGCUGUUGACAAACAUAUGUACUUCUUAUUACUCCGAUUCAAUCACCUACACAUAUAUGAUCGGUACUAUUAUCUCCAUCGACUGUUUGGCGAAUUAAUUAUUCACCAAUUUCUAGUUUACAAGUCUAAGUCUAUUCUAUAAUUCAUAUUUAUAUAGUAUAGUUUACUAUUACAUAAUAAUAUUAUGUAUCAUUUCAAAUUUUGAUAAUUGGGUUUAGGGUUUAUAUUUGGGUUAGAGUUUAGUAUUUAGAGGGAGGGUGAGGUUUAGGGUAGGGGCUUGGAGCAAUGUUUAGUAUUUUGGAGUUGUGAGUGGAUUUGGAGUCCUAUGCUACUUCGACAAUAUGGUAUAGAAAGCUCGGAUGCAUAUUUAUGUAGUAAGCAAGCGUGUGAUGUUUGUGGCAUUACGUGGUGUGAUAAUUAAUAGCGGACUUUUACAACCGACCACGUCAUCUAUUUUUUUUCUCUUUUACCGGCUACUUGCAAGAGAUGAGGUUAUAACCGGCUGAAAAAAGGUUAAAUGGUAGUUAGUAAAUAAUGUCAAAAUCAAUGUUAUAUACUUAAUUCUCAUUUCCAUUUUGGUUAUUCAGCAAAUUAACCAUAUUAUUAAUGUUCCUCUACAACAAAUUACAUCCAAACAAACAAAUAUUCCUCUCUCUCCCAAAGCAUCCACAUUUUUGAAUAUGAAAUGUAUAUAUGUCUCUUAUCAAUAAUGGAUGCUAACUUUGAUUCAGGGUAUAUGUUACAGGUUAUAUGGUUUACGGUAUAGUAAUUAGGGUUUGGGUUUUAAAGUUUAGUACAUAAGAUUUAGGAUAUGAAAAUGACUCAUUCCCCUAUGAACUAGUUGUUCCCGGCUUUUUCACACACGAACUUUUAAGUCAUGCCAAAAACCACAUGAACAACGGAAAAAUAAUUUAUUCCCCUAUGAACUAGUUGUUUCCGGCUAUUUCACACAAAAUUUUAAGUCAUGCCAAAAACCACAUGAACAAUUUUAUUUUUUGAAUUACAUACACAAACUAUCGAUUUUAAACUAAUUCCCCUAAAACCGUAAAUGGUGUUGUUUAAACGUUAACUUGGUUUAUGACAGGUAGAUAGUCUGUUUCAUUUAGGUUGAUAAAAUUAGAAUACUAUGUCGUUUUGUCCUUCUUCCUUUUGUCAACUCCUCUUCUUCUUCAGAAUCAUUUUACUCUUCAUCAUCAAUUGAGGAUAAAAAAAUUUAUUCUGCAUUUUCGAGUUAUAUGACAUAGUAACUGGUUGGGUAGAUAUUUUCGAGUUAUAUGACAUAAAGCUUAUAAAGAGAUCAUAUGUCAUUAAUUUCUGGAUUGAGGAGAAUAUAUAAAUCCAUGCAGGACUGGAACCUGAGAUUAACAUCCCUGUAUGGAACUAAUCAAGCGUCCUAGACUACACCAAUUUUAUAGUUCCUUGUGACAAUACAUGGAGAUUGGUAAGUUAGUAUUUGCUGCUCUUCUUUCUUUAUGCAUCAUGUAAAUGCUUUAUUUUCUACAUGAUAAUAAAUUUUAUCCCCAAUUGAUUAUGAAGAAUAAAACGAUUUCCAAAGAAGAAGAGAAGUUGACAAAAAAAAGAAGAAAAAAGAAAAAAAUGACGUAGUAUUCUGUUUUUAUCAACCCAAAUUAAACAGUCUCUCCACCUAUCAUAAACCAAGUUAACGUUUAAAUUACACUGUUACGGUUUUAUGAGAAUUAGUUUAAAAUCGAUAGUUGUGCACGUAAUUCAAAAAAUAGAGUUGUUCAUGUGGUUUUUGGCAUGACUUAAAAGUUUGUGUGUGAAAUAGCCGGGAACAACUAGUUCAUAAGAGAAUAAAUCAUUUUCCAUUGUUCAUGUGGUUUUUGGCAUGACAUAAAAGCUCAUGUGUGAAAAAACCGGGAAAAUCUAAUUCAUAGGGGAAUAAGCCAUUUUCCCGGUAUAGUAUUUAUGACUUAGAUUUAGGGUAUUGUGUUAAGGGUUUAUCUUUGGACAGUUUUUGGCAUUGUAUGUGAUAUUCAAAGAGAAUGAUUCAUCAUAUCCACUUUCUUCAUGUACUAUAUGAUACUUUAUAAGGUACUAAAUCAAAUGAUCUUAACAUUAUUACCACAGGAAAAAAACUAUAUAAAUGCAAAUAUAUUAUUUGUUCUAUAAAAGAAUAUGAUGAUGAACUAAAAGAGUUGGUAAAAAAUAAAUGCAACAAUAAAAUAAUCUUUCUGAAAUGUGCAGUGCAAGUGCCAGUGCAGCAGAGCACGUCCUUAAAUCAAACAAGUAAUAAAAGGAGAAUAUGAGCAUCAGGGAGGACGUCUACGUCAGCUUGGAAAAUCGUCCAAUUAGAGAGUUUGGUUUUGCCAUGUCACAUCGCUUUUGACUAAAGAAAGUGAAACCGGGUCUUCGCGUGGGCUUUCAAAUUACAUUUAUGUUGUUUUAAGAUGACGAGGCCCAAUCUCUCUUUUGAACAAAAAGCCCUAACAACCUAUCUUCUCUUUCGGUGGUUGUCUUUUCCGUUCACCUAUAUUCCCCGGCUCUUCGUAACGCUUUUCUUCGAUAUCAUUACGAUUCUACAUUAACUAUCUCAUUGAAGCUCUCCCACGACGUUGAAUUUUACUACCCCUUUCCUAACUUCCAUAGCGAAACCCUAAUUUUUUUUUAUUCCACUAUAAAUAGAGAUGCUGCAGCAAACUCAGAAUCUCCCAACUUCACAUGAUUCGACCCUUCUGCUUCCUCACAAAGACAACCUGCAACAAUGGUUCCAUCCCAUAUUUUUAUUACUGAUUUGGAUCCCGUUCGUUGUUCUCAGGCGGUUCUGUGUAGCUUGGAAUGUGAAGCAAAGGAGGAGGAGCUUAUGGGAAUUGACAUGCUUCUGCUUAAUGAGAAGGGUAUGCUCAUAUUUUCUCCUUGAUUAUGCUUUAUAUUUUCCUAUUCUUCCAUAUAUACUUAAAAGCGUUUCAUGUUUUCACUCUUUAAAAUCCAGUUUCUUGCAAGCUUCUAUCAACUUGCAUCAGCUUAACACUUUUAAACACCUUCUGAAAGAAGGCGUCACUUAAGAGAUCAGUGGUUUUGAUGUUAGACGAGUAACACCCACUUCAAGCUAUCAGAAUCCCCUUGGUCGUUCGCUUGAAAAAUCUAACGAAUUUUGUUGAAAUCACAAUUCCUCCUACUGCAAUACCUCUUGAGCUCUUUUUGGUUCCAUGACUACGGACAUCUCAUUGCGUUACCAAAUACUACCCUCAGUUGCCAGGUCAAUCAGUUUACUUUCAUUAACUCAAAAAGUUUGAGAUUUAGCAUACAACGUUUAACGAACUCAACCACUUGCUUCGUAAGCGUCUUAAGGUUUGUUGGUGUAAUCAAGUCUACCUUCAGUGACCAUGAGCAGAGUGCUCAAUGCAUUAUGGUUGACUUCCAGGGUGACAGGUACGAACCCUAUUUCCUUUACACUGUUUUUUUCUUUCUAUUCCAUCCAUUUGUGUUAAAUCUGUAUCUACACUUCAAUACAGCUCGACAAUUGUGCGUCUAAUUGUUUUUGAUGCACAAUCUAACCAACUUCACCAAACGUUGAUCACCAUAUUUGUUCUUACCCAUCGGUUACAUGUUCAACUUUUAGGUAUCAUGUGGAAAUGACAUCACAAAUGUCACAGAUUUGGCUGUGUUUGAUGCAGAAAUGUCUAAGUUGACUAAUGUGCAUGUAGCGGAAGUGAGUGACAUGAUGGUAUGUGUGGGAACCGAAAUUCGCACUGUCGAUUUCCGUUUAAAUUAGGAAACUAGGAAAACCCUAAUUUCCCAGAGGUCCCGGAGAUCUGUUAAUACCACACGCUAAACAAUCAGAACAAGAGAUAUCAACGACAAAGUACAAAAAUCGUAAAAAGAGAGCCAAAUAGAUCUUAUUCCGAAUCUGUGUUUGAGCGUUACAAAGAGGUAUAAGCCUGGGCUCGAGAGCUGUCGGCAAGAUUCCUAGUUCUAGCAACUCUAAGACGGCUAAACCUAAUUGAGUCGCAGCUCGAAAUAACAAAAACGGAAAUAUGCAUAAUCGCUCUAAGUGCUAAGUUUGCUCCGAAAAAAGUCUCUCCCCAUGCCUCUCGCCUAGGACUCCUUAUAUACUGGCUCCUAGGUCGGUUUACGCUUUUCCUCUUCUGCCCUUUAAGCCGUCAUAAUACUUCUGCCGCAGUUUUGGUGAUAUAGUCGCGAAGAUCGCGGAUAUCCAACGUCUCGCCAGCAGAUUUCCGAGCCUUUCGACGUUUACUGCGAGUGAGCUCGGUUUGCUUUUCAGCCAGCUCUUCUUGUUCGUUCCAAUAGAGGACUUCCUCCUCUUCCGUCAUCGGUUGGUCGAACGGAGAGCUUUCCCGAGAGGAUCGGCUUCUGGUCCGUCUUGGAUGUCUGUCGACGUACUCAUUGGUAUCGUUGGAGACAUCGCUAGGAUCCAGGUCGACGUGCUCGACUUCGUUAUCCUUCGAAUCUUUCGCGGAAGGCGGAGGACUUUCAAGGUUCCCCUUUUCGAUGGGAGAUUUUUCGCUAGAGUUUUGACCCGAAGGUUGUUCCCGCGCGGCUCCAGGCCUAUCGAGUGGGGUAGCGAAGUCCAGUCUUUUCCCGCGGACUUUAGUGGUUCCGCGGGGACGGAUUGCUCUGGUCCUUGCCGUUAAGGUUUCAACCUGUUUGGUCAAGGUGCUCACGAGCCUGUCCUGUUCUUCCGACCUUUUUCGUAGGUGGCUAAUAUCUUUUUAAACUCCUCGAGCACCGCGGCGUUCGCUGGUGCGUUUGCCGCGGAUACAUCCGCUGCGGGAGUGUGGAGAUCAGUGCUACUGCUUCCGUUCAGGGGAGUCUGCAUGUUAUCCGCGUCGUCAGUUGACAUGUCUGGUUGAGCGUGAUGUGGUUGAAAGCUAGAUUGAUCCGUACCCCCUCCUUCAAGCGCCAAACUGUGGGAACCAAAAUUCGCACUGUCGAUUUCCGUUUAAAUUAGGAAAUUAGGAAAACCCUAAUUUCCCACAGGUCCCAGAGAUCUGUUAAUACCACACGCUAAACAAUCAGAACACGAGAUAUCAACGACAAAGUACAAAAAUCGUAAAAAGAGAGCAAAAUAGAUCUUAUUCUGAAUCCGUGUUUGAGCGUUACAACAAGUUAUAAGCCUGGGCUCGAGAGCUGUCGGCGAGAUUCCUAGUUCUAGCAACCCUAAGACGGCUAAACCUAAUUGAGUCGCAGCUCGAAAUAAAAAAAAAGCGGAAAUAUGCCUAAAUCGCUCUAAGUGCUAAGUUUGCUCCGAAAAAAGUCUCUCCCCAUGCCUCUCGCCUAGGACUCCUUAUAUACUGGCUCCUAGGUCGGUUUACGCUUUUCCUCUUCUGCCCUUAAGCCAUCAUAGCAUAAAAAUGGAGAUAUUCCAUUUUUUCCGAUCUUCGUAAUUAUCUUCAAAAUUUCGUAUUUAUCCGCGGAAACUUGACAUUUAUCUUUCCUUGCGAACCAAGUGUAAACCGUCAUGCGGCUUACGGGCUGUUGGUUAAGAAAUCGUAAGUUAGGCCUCGAGUCAUGUCUUAGGUCCCUUUGGGCCGCCUUCUGACUCGAAGCGUUUAUUACGGCUUCUUUCGAUAAAGAACGAACUUUCCACGGUUUUUACCGUAAAGUUUGAUCGAUGACUUAGAAUGGCGGGAAACAUGAAAUGGGUUCGCUACGGUCUUCGGGAGAUAGCAUCGAAGGGUAGACAAGAAUGCAUGGACUAAUGUCGUAUCGACGUUUUGGAAGAGCUCGGUCGCUACGUAGCGACCGAGCUUGCGGGACGGACGCUCGGUCGCUACGUAGUGACCGAGCUUGCGGGACGGACGCUCGGUCGCUACGUAGCGACCGNNNNNNNNNNNNNNNNNNNNNNNNNNNNNNNNNNNNNNNNNNNNNNNNNNNNNNNNNNNNNNNNNNNNNNNNNNNNNNNNNNNNNNUGGCCGCUGGGUCGCUACGUAGCGACCGAGCUUGGCUCGAGCUCGGUCGCUACGUAGCGACCAGACAAGCGACCGGACAGCGUGCAUGUGCGGUAGUUGCGUAAUGACCGAGCUUGGUUCAUCCGUGUUCUGAUCGUCAUCUUCGGACCUAUCCGUAGCUGGUCUGGGUAUGUUUCCUAUGGCUUAUGUUUGAUCUAAAUAGAAUUCGAACAAAGCUUUAUCUCGGGAACAUACGUUGCGACGUUUUCUUGACCGAGCAUGAUUUGUUGCGGAAAGACAUACUUAUAUUCUGCGGGGAUUUGGACGUUAACUUCGUCGUAACCGUUUUCGACCCUAGCAGUAUGUCUCCAGAUACAUUCAUUUUUUUAAAAAAAAAGUGGGUGUACAUAGUAUUUGUUAUUCAGCAGGGUGCAGGUGUGGGAGGCCCACUCGAAGCUGAGAUCCCUCCAUUUACCAAGAAAUUGUUGGGAAAACAUUCAGUCUAAAUCUUACUGAUAUUCCUGGUGGCACAUGCGUCUCCUGCAAAUGCUCUAAUGGACAAAGGUUAAGUGGUGAUGAGCCGAGCAACGAAAUGGAUGGAAUCCCCUCAAACCAGACACGACACCCCAUCUGUUAGAACAACAACAGCUGCACAGCACCACUGUGAGGGGAGUAAUCCAGGGGAAGACCAGGUUCAAGUUGCAGGAAACCCCCCCCCCCACCGNNNNNNNNNNNNNNNNNNNNNNNNNNNNNNNNNNNNNNNNNNNNNNNNNNNNNNNNNNNNNNNNNNNNNNNNNNNNNNNNNNNNNNNNNNNNNNNNNNNNNNNNNNNNNNNNNNNNNNNNNNNNNNNNNNNNNNNNNNNNNNNNNNNNNNNNNNNNNNNNNNNNNNNNGUAUUUUUUUUCUUGAACCAUUUUUUUUUUUUUUUUUUUUUUUUUUUGAAUAAAUGUUAAAUUUUAUUCAUCCAAAAAAACAGCUGUUUUACAUUGAAAUGCAACUUCAAGCUAAAAUGUAAAAUAUUUGAAAGCUGAUUCUAAUAAGAAUUUAUCUACUACCAAACCACAUUCUCAACCCUCCUUCCAAUUUGUGACUUCCUUGGCGUUUGAUGGUAGAUAAUCUGUUUCUCACAUUUUUGUCAAUGACUUUCACUAGCAAAGUGUGUGAGAGAUUCUUCUCCCCAUGUUUUCUACAGUUUCUCUCUCUCCAAAUGGAAUGAGCAGCGGCCUGAAAAGUGUAUCUCAACAGAUAUAACUUCACCCGAUCUUGGCUUUCAUCAAGUAGAAGUGUACAUAUCUCCUCCCAUUUCUCUGUAUAUCUCCCAAGCAGCAAUCCCUUCAUCAGUUUUUGCCAAACUUCUCUCGUGUAUGAGCAAGAGUAAAACAGAUGGUUCCUUGUCUCCAUUUCCUGUUCGCAAAGCACACAUAUAGGAUCAAUAGCAGGGUUCCAUUUCAAUAUUCUAUCGCAUGUUGACAGUCUGUCCUGCAUCGCUGUCCACACAUGAAACGAGUAUUUUGGUGUAUCAUAUUUGAACCAUACACCUUUGCUCCACCCUUGCUUAACAUACUCCUUUCUGAUCAGUUGCCAUGUGUUAUUUGAUGAGAGGAACCAUGUUUGCAUCUUUAGCUAUUAAUAUUACGUAAUAUAAAUUAUUAUAGUACCACCUAUAGAGGAACUACACAGGAAUAUCAACUGGAACCAAAGUGUGUGGGGACUAAAGACAGCUCCCAAAGUGAAGAUGCUGGUUUGGAAGGCACUAAAGGGAGCUCUCCCGGUAGGAAUGAGACUGGCAGAGAGAUUCGUCCCUGCGGAGAAGGACUGUAAAAGAUGUCGAAGACCUGAAUCUAUCACACACCUAUUCAUUCAAUGCCCUUAUGCUCAGGAAGUUUGGGAAGCAGUUCCUUUCACCUCCGGCAUUGAUAAUAGUGGAGAGUUAGAUUUAGAUACCUUCUGGAAUGAUGUGAAACACAUGAUUUGUUUGCCUCCUACUGGGAUUGUUGCAGGCCAGCUUGCCCCUUGGAUUAUGUGGGAACUGUGGACAGCUCGAAAUAAGUUUGUCUUCACUGGCAGGACUACCACGCCGAUGGAGUCACUAUCCAGGGCCGUAGCCGCAGGCAGAGAAUGGCAGAAUGGACAGGAACAACCUAAAGUGCAGCAGCAGAGGAAAAGGAAAGAACCUGAGAUAGGGUCGCCGAAUAUGGCGGUGAUGAGAUCGGAUGCAGCCUGGAGAACGCCACACAUGCCGGCUGGCUUAGGGUGGACGCUAGACAUCAUGGAUGAAGACACAAGGAAGUUUGCAGUGAGAGAGAACUGGGUUUCUUCACCAUUAAUGGGAGAAGCAAUAGCUCUACUAACUGGUCUUCUCAAAUGCAGAGAGCUAAAUAUUCAGGAAGUUAGGUGUGAAGCGGACUCUUCACUUCUCAUCAACAGCAUCAAGAAUGAGAACAAUCUACCUGAGAUAUAUGGAGUAGUAGCAGACAUACUCUGUUUAGUUUCAGACUUUUCU